UUAUAAACUGUGACAAAUAUUAUAUAUAAUAUAACAUAUAAACUUACACAAAUGCAAUGUUACCUAAUCCACUUGGAGAUUCUACAACUGUCUUGUUGCUAAGUUGCACUUUACUUUUUUUGCUUUUGUUGAAGAAACUCGACUCCUGUUGGUUAUAUUGCUUGCAAUGCUUUUAUACAUUCUAAAGUUGUUAGUUCUUUAUGGUUCCUUCUGAAAGUUCUGAUUUUUUAGGUUCCUUAUUUCUAAACUUACACUCUUAGGCAUUUUGAGAGAAAACAAGACCAAUCAGUAGCUUUGGGUCUAAGAAUGAGCCGCUAAACCUUUAGUCCUUUGGUUCCUCCAGGACGAAAUGUGUUUCUUUCGAUCCAGGAAAGGUUUUACACAGUACAUUGACCAGAACAAAGUCUAACUGACACAUUAUUCUUCAUAGCAGACUCCACAUCCCUCAACUUAGAGAUCGCCAUCCUUGUGUCCAGGAUAACUCUAGGUGUAUCAAAUCACUACAGUUGCUUGGAAUGUACAUGCCCCAACAUGAUCUGAGAUGAUCUGGCCUGUAAUGGGCAUACGGAAUAUGAAGUUAGAGUGACCCAAAAAUUCAUCUGGAAACCAUCCUUUGUGUACCUCAUUUACUUAGUCUUGAAGCAUGUGUUGCAACUUAUGUAUACCUCAGUUUUAAUUAUGUAUGUUGUUCUAGUACUUAAUUAUUUGCUCAGAAAGAUGAUACUCUAUUUCUACUAUUUCUAUAUGGUUUUGUAUAUGUAUGUAAUAUUCCACUAGAUAUUAAGGAAUUGACGAAUCUAUAUAAAACAUAAUAGUGUACCCUAUGUAUUCUCAGUUUUCUCUGGUGUAUCCCCACCACAUUCUCUUUGUUUAAGGGUACUCUAUUAUAUUGUACUGGCACUAUUAUAUCCAGGUUGUAUAAUGAAUAUUCUUUUAAAAAAUAGAUAUGCAUUAAUUUUGUUACUUGAAAGAUUGUGUUAUGAAAUUAUGCAUGUAUGGAUUAAGGAGGACGUGUAAUGCUUGUAAUAUAUGGGAUCUGAGUAGGAAUUAGAUUAUUAAAUACUUAUGAUGUUAUACCUGAUAUUGUCACAAUAACCACAAAGAGAGACAGAGAGAGGGAAGUGCCAUUAACUACAAGAAAUGAGUAAGGUUAAUAUCUGGGAAUACCAAAGGUAAGAAAGGACACAGUAAUGUAAUGAUAACAUUAAUAAAAGUAUAGCUAUAAAUAUCAUGUGGAGAAUAAAGUGAUUAUUUGAGGUGAGUAGAAAAUAGAGGUAAAGAAGAUAUCUCCUUGACAGCUCCUUGCUGACCUGGCACUGUGGCACCUCCAGUCAUACCUCAUGACCUAUUGAGGAUUUAAAAACCCAUUCAGAGAGAAUGGGUUUUGUGUUGUGGUUUUAUUCUGCAAUCUGGUUAAGAGGAGAGAGAAAGAUAAACCAAGAAUCUUCUAAGAAGUUGGAAACUAUAACCAGAGCGAGCAAGAUUACUCUGUAAGGAAGAGAGAAGACAGAAGAACAGACAAGAGAAGAAUGGUAUAAGGUUGGAGUGCGCUCAGUUGAUGAGUAUGGUAAAUUAUUGGGAAUGAUUGUAAUGAUUUAUGACGCAAAAUAUCAACAAGAAUUUUGUA